GGACCAAGGAGUCUAGCAUAUAUGCAAGUCAUGGGGAUUAAUAUAAGACCUAAAGGCGUAAUGAAAGUAAAGGUUUGCACUUUAGUGUGUAAACUUAGGAAUGAUGUGUUACUUAUAUAAUAGUAGCACCGCAAUUCCGGGGCGUCUCAAUUAGCUCAUUGCGAGCUGAGGCGCACCAAGAGCAUAUACGCUGGGACCC
rnacentral:rRNA from 2 species